AUGAAGUGGAUGAUGAAGGGUGAAUAUGACCUUAAGUGCGUGCGAGCGUCAGAUCAGCGUGUUCAUGGUCCAUGGGUCUUACAAGACAUUAACUAUGAAUUCUUCCGUUCUCAACUUCCAGAAGUCAAGAAGAAAGCAAUAGUCCAAGAAAAAACUGACUGGGACUCCGACAAUGACGGUGCAGACAACAUCGUAGACAUGGCUGAAGAGCGUCGUCAUGGAUGUGAUGUACUUGGAUUUCACCCAUUCAAAGAGAUUAUGUUCUUGAGCAGCUUCACCAAAGAAACAUGGGAUGCUACGGUACACGCCUACCAUUUGAAUAGCUCGAGGGUUGAAUGCUUAGGCAACAUGCGCCCAGCCUGUUAUAAUCUUUUUGAAGGCUUCAGAUCUACCGAACAAAAUUAUGAAUAUUUUCCGUACACGCCAUGUUGGGUAGGCGAGUUCCAUAGCAACAACAAAUGUAAUUUAUAA
rnacentral:rRNA from 1 species